GCUAAUGCAAAAUUACUAUGGAAUAAGGUACAAAUUAAAAAUUAACUAAAUUGAAUAUCCCCGACAAGUACAAUGGGCAAUUUGAAAUUUGAACCUUAUUCCAUAGUAAUUUUGCAUUAGCUAACAAAAGUAUUUACAUUUAUUAAAAUAAUCAAGCAGAACUGCUAAGCUAGCUAACACGGUUGGCCAUCAUCUGAUAGAGAGUUCUGACCAACAAGAAGAUGCUGGAGAUAAAUUAACAAUAAAUAGACACUGAUCCAAGCAACUUUACAAGGAGAAAACACAGUGGAUUGCUUCAGUUUGAUUAUCAUCAAACAUCAAUCUGAUUUACUCUUCGACUCUUCCUUCUCUUGCUUUUGGGGUCGAACUAGUAGCUUAAAUGUCCAUACUGCCAGAAGAGUUGCCUCUAUUGGAGCAAGCCAAUAUACAAGUAUAUGCUCCUUAGUUAUAUGAUCUCCACGGGCAUAAGCCCAUCCCAUCACAGAGGCUGGGUUCAUACAACCGCCAGUCAGAUCGGAGCCAAGUAUGUGAAGAGCUAAUUUAGAGACACUUGAUAUCCAUGUCUUCAUGAAGAAACUUCCAGGGAUCUUUCUUGAAAGCCCAAGAGAGAUGGUAACAAUUGCAAAUGUAAGCAAUCCUUCAGUGAGUGCGCCAUGAUGGAUGUCGACAUUGAGGCGUGGCCCAAAUCCUAUUUCAGGAAAGUACUCAAUAAUGUACCUAACUCCAGUGAUAGAUCCGAUUACCUGAGCAGGGAUUCUAGCCCCAACAGUGAGGAGAAAACGACUAAAAUCCCCAGAGAUUGCAGGAGAGAAAACAGUAAGAGGAUUGUAAGCCCCUCCUUUGGUGAUCUUGCCCAAGAAAGCAAAGAAGAUCAUAUUAAUGAUAGACAAAGUAGCUUUGAUGGCCUCGCCUCUGGGUUCGUGAUGCCCCACUCCCAAAACACGAUUGACAAACAUCUUUAUCAAAGCUCCUGACCAUACCCACAUGAAAGAAAUGACAAAGUCUGAUAUGAUCAAACGAAGAGUAACUGCAGAACUCAUUUCCACCAAGAACUUUUGUUUUCUCUGUAACUUAAACUGGGUAAUGCAUGUAAACGGACGUUGUUUAUAUUAAGGAAAG
rnacentral:misc_RNA from 1 species